rnacentral:tRNA from 3 species
GUGGCCGUAGUUCAAUGGUAGAACAUUGGCCUGUGGAGCCAAACGUUGGGGGUUCAAGUCCCCUCGGUCACCCUA